rnacentral:lncRNA from 1 species
CGAGGGGGCUGCAUUUAGCUACAUUUAUUCCAAGACAGGUGAAGAGGUGGCAUGGGAACACAUAGGUCCUUAAAAUUAGAUGAAUUGCAUCUAAAGAUAUUUUUUAAACUUGCAGGUAUAAUCUCAGAGAUUCAGUAUGUAAUCUUUGAUAAUUCUUGGUGAACAGAUGAAUUCGAUGCAAACUGGAUGUGGAUGAGUGUUAUCUUCAUUUAAAAGGGAGGGGGAUCUGAUCAACUACUGGCUAGUCAACUUGAUGGUGACAGCAGAAAAAUUCUAGAAUUUUGCAUUUAUGCCUAUUGAAUUUCAUUUUAUUAUUGUCUGCCCAACUUACUUAUAACCUAGGUCAUGUUGAAUUUUAUCUUCCAAUGUGUUGGUCACCCCCCUCCCCACUUUUGUAUCAGCCCAAAAACUGAUAAGGUUCCUUUAAACCCAGUCAUCUAAGUCACUGAUAAAAAUGCUGAAGAGUAAUGGCCCUGGGACAGAACCCCAAAGCACUCCAUUCACAACCUCCUUCCAGUUUGAAGAGCAGCUGUUGAUUAUGACUCUUUAACCAGAGUUUCCCAAUUAACUAUGGAUUCAUCUGACAGUGUUCCCAUUUAUUCCAUAAGUGAAAUAACAGCAUCACUCUGUUCUGCUUUGCUCAGAUCUCACCAAGCAAACUAUAAGAUAAAGCUUCUCUCCAUCGCCUUAUUAUGGAAAUGAUUGGUGUUGAGCUAACCAGAACUGAGUUACGAGGAGAAAGAUGUUAAAAGACUACAAACUGCUUUGAAAACAACGUGCUUUGUAAGUAAUAAUGAAUACAAACAAAGAUAGCCAUGUGCGAUUAGUACCUGAAAUAUACCAUUGCUCUGUGUCAUGUAGAGAUUUUAAAACACUUACACACAUGCAGCUAGGAAGCCAAGGGGUUCAGGAAUAACCUUGCUGGGUGUGGGCACGGCAUGAAACUCUAAUACAAGAAGAGACACUACCAAGAUUAGAAGUCAUGCUCUGAUUAGUUUAUUCAUUAGUCAGUCAUGUUUCUAGCCUGCUGUUCCUCUUAAAUUUGUUCAGGGCAAUGUUGCUGCUAUGUGAUAAUACUUUAGUCUAGAUAUACUGUUAACUAGUCUACCACAAGCUGGUAACAUCCAGAUCUUUUAGUCUCUAUUUCCCAUCCUGGACAAUGAGGAAUUAGUCUAAGACAUCUUCAGGGCACCAGUUUUAGGAGAGGCUGGGUUAAGUAUUUGUUUUUAGAGGAGAAGACUUCA